UUCAAGAUUAAGCCAUGCAUGUCUAAGUAUAAGCAAUUAUACCGUGAAACUGCGAAUGGCUCAUUAAAUCAGUUAUCGUUUAUUUGAUAGUACCUUACUACUUGGAUAACCGUGGUAAUUCUAGAGCUAAUACAUGCUAAAAACCCCAACUUCGGGAGGGGUGUAUUUAUUAGAUAAAAAACCAAUGCCCUUCGGGGCUCCUUGGUGAUUCAUGAUAACUUCUCAGAUCGCAUGGCUUUACGCCGGCGACGGUUCAUUCAAAUUUCUGCCCUAUCAACUUUCGAUGGUAAGGUAUUGGCUUACCAUGGUUUCAACGGGUAACGGGGAAUUAGGGUUCGAUUCCGGAGAGGGAGCCUGAGAAACGGCUACCACAUCCAAGGAAGGCAGCAGGCGCGCAAAUUACCCAAUUCCGAUACGGAGAGGUAGUGACAAUAAAUACUGAUACAGGGCUCUUUUGGGUCUUGUAAUUGGAAUGAGUACAAUUUAAACCUCUUAACGAGGAACAAUUGGAGGGCAAGUCUGGUGCCAGCAGCCGCGGUAAUUCCAGCUCCAAUAGCGUAUAUUAAAGUUGUUGCAGUUAAAAAGCUCGUAGUUGAACCUUUGGCCUGGCUGGCAGGUCCGCCUCACCGCGUGCACUUGUCCGGCCGGGCCUUUUCUUCUGGAGAACCGCAUGCCCUUCACUGGGUGUGUUGGGGACCAGGACUUUUACUUUGAAAAAAUUAGAGUGUUCAAAGCAGGCCUUUGCUCGAAUACGUUAGCAUGGAAUAAUAGAAUAGGACGUGCGGUCCUAUUUUGUUGGUUUCUAGGACCGCCGUAAUGAUUAAUAGGGACAGUCGGGGGCAUCAGUAUUCAAUUGUCAGAGGUGAAAUUCUUGGAUUUAUUGAAGACUAACUACUGCGAAAGCAUUUGCCAAGGAUGUUUUCAUUAAUCAGUGAACGAAAGUUAGGGGAUCGAAGACGAUCAGAUACCGUCGUAGUCUUAACCAUAAACUAUGCCGACUAGGGAUCGGGCGGUGUUUCUAUUGUGACCCGCUCGGCACCUUACGAGAAAUCAAAGUGUUUGGGUUCUGGGGGGAAUAUGGUCGCAAGGCUGAAACUAAGA
rnacentral:rRNA from 1 species